UCUCUGCUCUGUGCGGUCUCCACCCUCGCCUCACUGCUGGUAGCUGAGGGCACAGCACUGCGAGUUGUUGCCGUUUUUUCACAAGCCUCGUGAUGAUUUUUGGUGUCUUUAUGAAACCACAGAUGCUGAGUGUUUUUGUUUUUCAGCAUGCUUCUAGUCCUUCCGAUUGCAACAUAAAUCAGCAAGGAACAAUAUGGACAGAAGGUACCAAUCUGAAAGGCAAAUAAGACCAACUCUUCAUGAACUGCUAAUAAAACAUCCAAGUUUCCAGGGGAAUAUCAGGAGCUAGGAGAGGAAAAGGAGCCAAGCUAUGGUUCUGUGGUCUGACGGCUGUCAGCGAGGGAUGGUCUUGCAAGUGCUUGUCCAAGCUCUGCAGGUUUGUCUGGGGAGCCAGCACAGGUCAGACAAGAUGUUUUCUGUCUCUGCUAAGCAGAGCUACGGAUUUUGUGUGCUGAAGUUUAUUAGGACAACUUUUUCCAACACAGUGGAUUGAUUUUCUCAAGAAAAAAAAAAAAAAAGGCUGCUGAUGUUGCAGGGAGAAAAUCAGCAAGCAGCUUCUGAGGGCUACUGGUUUUCAGGAUGAUUCCCAGUAGGAGGAACUGGUCAGCUUUGAUGGCAGCUAUCAUUAGUUUUGGCACCAGGUAAAGGUAGGGAAGUUCAGAUCCACAGGGAGGAAGGGGAGACUCCCCUACCCACCCCCUUUCUGCACACCUGCCAGUAAUGCUAGCCAGGUCAAAGCUGGUGCCUUGUUCAUGCAAACCUGUUGAAAAUAAAUAGAUUUUAGAGGGCAUUUCUUCACGCCCUCUGAAAAGCAGAUCUGUCUGGACCUGUGUGGGAGUAUGAGAAGUGCUGCACCCUGCAGAACAAGGGCAUAAAGGAAGAGAAACAAGUUAAAAAUAGCUGAAGAUUGAAGGUCUAUAGGAAGAUUUAAAAUACAGAAAUGUGGGGAUGAGCUGGAAUUACAGAACUGAGUUUGGAGGAAUGGGGCAAAUAGAAGAGACUGGAUUUCUAGCGGGUUUUAUGGGGGAAGGACACAGUGGAGCCCCCCUGAGGGGCAUGCACCUGCCCCACACUCUGUGCCUGUCCUGCACAGCCCCACACAGUUGUGACAGGCUCAUCGGUGUGGGUGGGGGCCCCAUGGUACCACUGAGCACUCUGGAACUUGUGUGCUGAAAUUCAGGAAGGCGCAUUUUUAUCUCAGAGCAGCAUGAGAGAGAGACGAUUUUUAAUACUGUAUAAGGCAAAAGGAGACAUUGCAGAGAGGGAGGGAAGCUGGAAGGAGUUGGUGCUCUCUGCUUGAAGAGAUUUGUUUUGUGCAGUGCUCUCUGGUUUUGAUUUAAUGGUGGGUUGGUUCUUUCAAGCAGCUAAGCAGGGGAGGAGGGAUGGGAAUAUGUUCCCAGACUUUGGCCACAAGUGUCCCAGUGUCCCAGGCAUGACCUCUUCAGUGUUUAUUUUUCUUUCUCUACAACUGACCCAGAUGCUGAGACUUGAGACUCCAGCCCUCCUGGCCUCUUCUGGAAGUCAAAACCCACGAGGAAAAGCCUGGGAGAGCACUGCCACCCAGCGGGGACACAAGCAGAGAUGUGAGCAGCGCAGGGACACUGCUUUUCCACUCGUGUACCUCGCUAGAGAGAGGAGAAAGCCUUUCAGACAGAAGAGUAAACAGAACAAAGGGGAAGCUAGGUUUUGGUCUGCUUUAUUAGAAAACAGCAACAACGAACGUUCUGUGGAACGAGGUUAGCGUUCGUUUAUAUUUGCAGCCUGCAUUGUCUCCUUCCUGGGACUGACAGCAAGGCUUGCAAAUUGAGAUGGAUUUUUUUUUUUUCAUCACUCAGAACUGAAAACCUAACAAAGUGUCUUCAAGUGAACAAACAAACAAAACGGUUUUAACUUAAGCUGAUGUGCCAGUCACUAAGAAAAAAGCACAGUUUUGGAGGAAACAGCAUUGAGUUCUACCAAAGUUACAAACCUUUCAUUCCAAAAAGCAUCUUCUCUGUUUCACUAGUAGGUGCUGCAAAUCCAACUAGUCACAAUAAAUAGUUCAAUAAACUCCAGGGCCAAGCUGAGCCAGUUCAAGCAUGUCUCAGGGCAGAUAUAGCAGGAAAGUAAACUUCCCACCUUCGUAUCACAUUUCUUUGCCCGAUGGGAGGUACUUUAUUGGCAGAAGUAAACUACAGCUGGUCCCUUUCUUUUUUCUGGAGGGAAGGAAUUAAGAUAAUUUAAGGAUGUACUGUACAGAGGAAAUGCAAGGGCUGAGCAUAUAUACAGAUAUUCCCCAGACGACCCUAGCGGCUGUAUUGCCAUCCAUUGCUACCUACAGCUAAAAAACAUCAUCAUUGCAGUCUGUGCCACCGGGGCACUGAGGUAUUGGGUUUCCGUGCAGUUUUCCUGCGGUCAGACAGAAACUGCCCCAGGCACAAUCCUACGGAUGUGUGUGUAAGACUUCCUGAGGGUAACGCUCCCGUGAUGAGACACCCCCCGAGGCAGGACACACUCUUCAGUCAGCUUCUGAGUUUCAGGGUCCCAGCACAGCACUGUCGCAAUAACUUCGUUCUUUUCAUCUCGGCCCCCGGUGAUAAACAGCUUGUUGUUGCAAGGAGAAAUCCCACAACUGGCUCUCUCAUGGGUGAACUGAGUCACGAGGCACCACGUAUCUUCCUGGGGGCUGUACGAGUAGAGUGCUUUCAUCGCCCCACCUGGAGAGGAAAUGGAUAUCAGUUUGCGCCAGCCAUUCCUGUACGAGAUUUUAGCUAAACAACCCACUUCUGCGAGGCUCCAUUCCUGACAUUUGUAAGAAUGAUUUAGGGCCCAAAGCUAAGAAAAAACAAGGUCACAGGAUACUUUAUUGUUUUGACAGCCAGAUCCACAGAAGGUCACUUAUUGUUCACAAGGCUGUGGAAUUUAAGGCCAGGACAUGCAGCAGGACCACAGUGCACCCAGCAAUGGACCU